rnacentral:rRNA from 1 species
GAAAUGGGAUAAGUAAUGUGAAUUGCAGAAUUCAAUGAAUCAUCGAAUCUUUGAACGCACAUUGCACCUUCUGGCAUUCCGGGAGGUAUGCCCGUCCGAGCGUCAUUU